AGCGAACGCUGGCGGCAGGCCUAACACAUGCAAGUCGAACGAAGCCUUCGGGCUUAGUGGCGGACGGGUGAGUAACACGUGGGAACGUACCUUUUGGUUCGGAACAACUCAGGGAAACUUGAGCUAAUACCGGAUGAGCCCUUAGGGGGAAAGAUUUAUCGCCGAAAGAGCGGCCCGCGUUAGAUUAGCUAGUUGGUGAGGUAAAGGCUCACCAAGGCUACGAUCUAUAGCUGGUCUGAGAGGAUGAUCAGCCACACUGGGACUGAGACACGGCCCAGACUCCUACGGGAGGCAGCAGUGGGGAAUCUUGCGCAAUGGGCGAAAGCCUGACACAGCCAUGCCGCGUGAAUGAUGAAGGUCUUAGGAUUGUAAAAUUCUUUUACCAGGGACGAUAAUGACGGUACCUGGAGAAAAAGCCCCGGCUAACUUCGUGCCAGCCGCCGCGGUAAUAC
rnacentral:rRNA from 1 species